CCUCCACCUCAAAGACAAAGGACAAUCCUUUGAGGACAACAAUGUUCACAUUUUAGACAGGGAGGAAAGGUGGUAUGAAAGAGGAGUCAAGGAAGCCAUCUAUGUUAAGCUGGAAAACCCUUCCCUUAACAGAGGUGGUGGCCUCAGACAUCAUCUUUCCACCACAUACAAUGCAGUGAUUCCAUCCAUUCCCAGGAAGUUUGCACAUACUCACAGUAAGAACAAAGGGCUGUCAACCAGUCCCCCUCCGGCAGUUUCAUAGUCGUUAGCCAGUCGUUAGACACACCUGGCCCAGUCAGCCAGAACAUCACAGGUAAGUAUGGAAACAUUUAGUGCUAUUGUUUGUAAGUUUUUUAAGUUUUACCCGGACCCACCCACUGAGGUCUGUAACCACAUAUAAACCAUGUUUCCCCACCAAACAGUUAGAACUGAUGAAGCUGCUUGGAUGAGCAGUGAAACGUCUUCUAGAAAACUCUACAAGUCCAGACGCCUUGCUUCAAUCUUCUCUACGUACAUACAGGUCCACAUCAUGAAAACACUGAUGUUAUCUACAUUAUAUUUAUACAUGUCAGCUCCAUAUUUACAUCAUCUCAGCCAUGUAGCCAGAUGUGCUGUGCUGGUUAUUAGUAACAUCACCAUGUGCUCAUGCAGACCCAUUCAAAUGUUUUUAUUAAUGCCAAAAAGAUGAAGAGAAAACACUAAACUAUUUCAUCUUUACAAAAUCUGUGUUACAAGACACUGAAAUCAAUGGUUACAUGUAUGUGAAUUUAACACUUACUGUAGCUCUGUCAUAUCCAUGGACACAAAUAGUCAAAGUUGCUUAUGCUUAUCUUUUAUUUAGGGUGAACAGUCGAUGAAGGGUAAAUAUUGAAACACAAUCUUACAUUUACUGAUCAAUCUGUCUGUCUUCCAGACCUGAAAGUGAAGAUAACACCGUCUGCAGUGGUGACAGAGGGACAGACAGUCAGACUGACCUGCAGCACCAGCUGUCCUCUGACUGACACAGCCUACAUUUGGUACUUCAACAGUCGACCUCUGAACCUGUCACACAGCCAAAACAAACACCUGCUUCUAGACCCAGUCAGCAGCCAGCAUGCAGGAAGAUACUACUGUUCAGUCAGAAGCAGCAAAACAAGCCUCAGAUCCAGUGAGGAGACUCUCACUGUCCGAAGUAUCACAGGCAAAUGGGAAGAAGCAGCAGCAGCAGGAGUUUCUGCAGCUCUCCUGGCUUUAAUCCUUGUCGUGGUGUUCCUGUGGAUCAGAAAAACCAGCUCUCCAGACAGGCUCCUACAAACACAACUUUUGACAACUUGGAGCAGUAUGAUGUCAUCGCAGCGCAACCAGCAGAGGAGGAACUUCACUACAGUGAUGUCCACUUCUCAAAGAACAACCCGGAUCCUCUGUACUCCGUACUCCAAAAUAAAGAGCAGGUCCCUUAUGCUGAGGUGAACUUUAGAACCACAACCCCUGCGUAGGCACACCAGGGUAUCACAAUCACAAGCUCACAUGGUAACAAAACACAGGAAAUAAAAGUUAUUUGUUCUAUAUUUGAAACGAUUGA
rnacentral:lncRNA from 1 species